UUUUUGACAGAUGUACUAUGGAAACGAGAAGCAGAACAAAUAAAAUAAAUCUAAACAGCUACUCGAUGAAGCCUAGCAGGGACAAACGAACAAACCGGACUACUAGCGAGAGGAGUCGACCAAUCCGCGCUUACCGUUUGCCACAAAAAACUGUACCACAGUUAAUCCGAGAGUCAGAACCCGAUAAAAUUUAGCCUCUCUGAUGAUCCGUUCUUUAUGAUUGGUCCAACCAAGAAUAGCUCGAAGAAGACUUCCUGAGCAUCAGCCAUCCCGAAGACAGACAAGCCUGCAGUCUAGCACUCCCACUACAACAACAUCGAGCAAUAUUAUUCGAAGAUCUAUACAAAACAGGCAAAAAAAACAGCAGCAAACUCCACACUCCACACACACACAUCGUAACCUCAAACCAAGCCGGAAGAGCCUCAACCACUAGUAGACAGAGUGCGUGCCACUGAAUCUAGUGCUGGGAAGUUGAGCUCAAACCAAGUUAACCCGAAGCUCCGCCUGAGCCGCAGACCCCACGGCGAGGAAGAGCCAGCCGGACAAGGACAGUCCCUGAGAACCAGGAAACUGACCGGCUUGCAAACCGGAACAACUAAGACAAUUAAAACGCAGCCGGAAGAAGAAAGCAUGAGGUAAAUUAGGGAGAGCACCGAGGCCAGGACAAGAAGGAAGCACCAUGAACACAGGAAGGGCCGAAGCCAUAGACAACUCCGACUCAAACCCCAAGCCAUGGAAGCACGCGUCUAGCAAGACACAGCCGGAACACCACACGACGAAGCCGACCAAGCCUCAGACACACCAGAGAGGAGGAACCACACUGUACCUACUGCACCUUGAGCUGCGCAAAACCUAACGUCAAGACGCCUCGUGCGCUGGAGAAUCAUGGACCGCCGUGCCACUUCGCUGGGAAAACAAAUGACAUGAAAAACACCGGGAAAGAACAGAUCCGAGGCGAAGGAACCACCAUACGAAGCCACGCGCCGCAAUUCCACGGGUUUCGCCGGAGAUCUACAAAGCGAGACCGGACGAAAACCCUACCCAGAAACAAACUCCUACCUCCCACCGUCACUACACCCUCCUCGCAAAGUCACCAGAGGGACGAAGCGGCCACCAGAUUCGGCCUAGGCUCCUCCGCCGGCGAACGAUCUUGCUCUAGGGACGACCACAUAUCAGAGAUGGGUAAGAGAGGAGAGAGCAGCGCAAAGGAAAAGAAAGAGAAAAAGGGAUGAGAAGCCCUCCGACGACGAAGAGGAGAGCAGCCGCCGGAAGCAAGAUCGGAGAAUUUUUUUUUCCUUUUUUUUCUCGAGAGGUUUUAGAGAGAGAGACCCACUUUUUCAUCGUCAUAGAAUUAUUGUUGUUUAAAAUUAUAGAAUUACAAAGUAAAUCAAGGCUUAUUUAGACAAAAUAUUUGAUUCUUUUUUUGUGGAAGCAUGUUAUGUGCCUAUCAGGUCCAAGUCAUAGACGGUAUAGUAGGAUUUGUCAAAAUUUAAGUUUCAAUAUAAUAUUUGCAAUAUUAAUAUAUGACAAAAAUUAUCAAUGUCUCUGUAUUA
rnacentral:lncRNA from 1 species